UGAGGGACCACUGGCCACCUGGCUCUGAGAACUGAAUUCCAUAGGCCGUGAGCUUUAGCAAUGCCCUAGGAAUUCAGUUCUAGCGCCCGGCUGAGCUGUACCAUC
ensembl:miRNA